UCCCACCCCGCUGUGACCUUUAGGAAGGCAUCCAUCUGGCCAUUUGCAAAGUGGAUUCUCAUCUUUCAGUCUGUAUCAUUUCAAUGUCAUCUGCUACAGAGAGGCAAUUAGAUAAGGAAACAGGAGUUUUCUGAGCACCCCCACCCCCUGAUGGCCGUGACUUCCACGGAAGCAUCCCAUUCUCCAGAGAGCCUGGUUUGAAUCGCACGUUUGCAGAGUUCCGGAAACCUCUUUCAGAGUAUCUGAGAAGCUCCCCUCACUGGAGCCACAAAAUCCCAUCUCCACAUGCAGUUUUGUCCCGGCGUGUUUGAUGGGGCUGAAUCACUGGCCACGGCCUCGCAGGAAGCCCUCCUGGAGUGGAGACAGUUGUUAAAGGGCCUGAAUAAAUCUGUCCUUGGACAACUA